rnacentral:rRNA from 1 species
ACCUACGGGGCGCAGCAGUGGGGAAUAUUGCACAAUGGGGGAAACCCUGAUGCAGCAACGCCGCGUGAAGGAAGACGGUUUUCGGAUUGUAAACUUCUGUUCUUAGUGAAGAAAAAUGACGGUAGCUAAGGAGCAAGCCACGGCUAACUACGUGCCAGCAGCCGCGGUAAUACGUAGGCGGCAAGCGUUGUCCGGAAUUACUGGGUGUAAAGGGAGCGCAGGCGGGAAGCCAAGUCAGCUGUGAAAACUACGGGCUUAACUUGUAGACUGCAGUUGAAAAUGGGUUUCUUGAGUGAAGGAGAGGG